UUUUUUUUCAUAUGUCAGGGAUAUGUACCCAUUUGUUGCAUAUGUCAAGGAUAUGUACCCUUUUUUCAUAUGUCCGGGAUAUGUACCCUUUAUUUUUUCAUAUGUAAACGAUUUGUACCCUUUAGUUUUUCAUAUGUCAGAUGUAUGGACCCCUUAUUGCUUUAUAUGUCAGGUAUGUGUACCCUUUAUUUAUUAAUAUGUCAGGGAUAUGUACCCUUUAUUAUUUUCUUUGAAAUUCAUGGAUAUGUACCCUUAUUUAUAUAUUUCAGGGAUAUGUUCCCUUAAUUCUUCUAAUGGCAGGGGUAUGGACCCCUUAUUUCUUCAUAUGUCAGGGAUAUGGAGCCUUUAAUUCCCUUGCCACUGGCAGGGCGCACACACACACACACACAUAUAUGUACCACAUCACCACGCAGGAUCUGGGCUCUCAAGAGGACCUGAAUGUUUGUUUGUCAUGCCACCGAAACAUGGAACAAUCUGGAGUUAUGAAGCAAGAAGAACCCAAAGGAAAACCAAACAAGACCUGGAUCAACAGAGGACAUCCCUGGACAACUCAAUGCAUACACCAAGGGCGAAGAAAGUAAGUCCAAAGUUGUGAUAACAUUUCAUUCUUUGAAUAAUAAUUUAAAGACUCUCACAAACUGACCCUUUCUUCCCUCUUCCCUCCUCUUCAUUGUCUCCUAAGCUCCUUCUGGACACCAAGGGCGAAGAAAGCAAGAAAAGGCUCUGAACCCUGUCAUACCUGAAUCAUCCAAAUCCAUCUGUGCUUAUAUGAGACAGUGUAGAGGAUGCCCUCCGCAGCGCUUACAGUGACACUUGUUGAGGGGCUGCCGUCUGUCACCAUCAUGUGACAUCGCUGUCUUCAGCCAUCUCUUG